rnacentral:rRNA from 1 species
UGGGGAAUAUUGGACAAUGGGCGCAAGCCUGAUCCAGCAAUGCCGCGUGUGUGAAGAAGGCCUUCGGGUUGUAAAGCACUUUUAUCAGGAGCGAAACGCUGUCGGCUAAUACCCGGCGGAACUGACGGUACCUGAGGAAUAAGCACCGGCUAACUUCGUGCCAGCAGCCGCGGUAAUACGAAGGGUGCAAGCGUUAAUCGGAAUUACUGGGCGUAAAGCGUGCGUAGGCGGUUUCUUAAGUCUGCUGUGAAAUCCCCGGGCUCAACCUGGGAAUGGCAGUGGAUACUGGGAGGCUAGAGUGUGUCAGAGGGUGGUGGAAUUCCCGGUGUAGCGGUGAAAUGCGUAGAGAUCGGGAGGAACAUCAGUGGCGAAGGCGGCCACCUGGGACAACACUGACGCUGAGGCACGAAAGCGUGGGGAGCAAACAGGAUUAGGAUACCCUGGUAGUCCACGCCCUAAACGAUGCGAACUGGAUGUUGGUCUCAACUCGGAGAUCAGUGUCGAAGCUAACGCGUUAAGUUCG